rnacentral:rRNA from 1 species
GUCCACGCCGUAAACGAUGAGAACUAGGUGUCGUGGGUGUUGACCCCUGCGGUGCCGUAGCUAACGCAUUAAGUUCUCCGCCUGGGAAGUACGGCCGCAAGGUUAAAACUCAAAGGAAUUGACGGGGGCCCGCACAAGCGGUGGAGCAUGUGGUUUAAUUCGACGCAACGCGCAGAACCUUACCCAGAUUUGACAUCCUGGAAAGCUGGCCCAAAGUCGGCGUGCCCGCAAGGGAAUCCAGAGACAGGUGCUGCAUGGCUGUCGU